rnacentral:rRNA from 1 species
UGGGGAAUAUUGUACAAUGGGCGCAAGCCUGAUGCAGCCAUGCCGCGUGUAUGAAGAAGGCCUUCGGGUUGUAAAGUACUUUCAGCGAGGAGGAAGGCGUUGUGGUUAAUAACCGCAACGAUUGACGUUACUCGCAGAAGAAGCACCGGCUAACUCCGUGCCAGCAGCCGCGGUAAUACGGAGGGUGCAAGCGUUAAUCGGAAUUACUGGGCGUAAAGCGCACGCAGGCGGUCUGUCAAGUCGGAUGUGAAAUCCCCGGGCUCAACCUGGGAACUGCAUCCGAAACUGGCAGGCUAGAGUCUUGUAGAGGGGGGUAGAAUUCCAGGUGUAGCGGUGAAAUGCGUAGAGAUCUGGAGGAAUACCGGUGGCGAAGGCGGCCCCCUGGACAAAGACUGACGCUCAGGUGCGAAAGCGUGGGGAGCAAACA